GAAAAUAUUAAAAAAAAAAAAAAAAGAAAGAUAUUAAAAAGGGCUUGAAGGAAAUCAACAUCAAAUUGUACAACAAAUUUCCAGAGGUCUACCUGGACAAGUGAAAGAUAUUGGAGAAGAUUCGAGAGAAGGCGAGACGCAGGCGAGGAUAAGCCCUGAGAGAGUAUAUAGCAGUCUGGCGGAGCAAAUCCUCGAUGGUCUCAACGAAUGAAUUGAGAGAUCGAAUCGGCGGAACGUAUAGUGUCAAUGGCACCGCCGAGAAGGCCACGGCGAAGAAUAGCUGCAGCAUUUGAUAGAUUAAAAUUGGCAAAUUUGUCUGUUUGUUUGGCGUGAAAAUGAAGCUUGUG
rnacentral:misc_RNA from 1 species